GGGUGCUAUCAUACCAGCGUUAAUGCACCGGAUCCCAUCAGAACUCCGCAGUUAAGCGCGCUUGGGCUAGAGUAGUACUGGGAUGGGUGACCUCCCGGGAAGUUCUAGUGUUGCACCCU
rnacentral:rRNA from 1 species